UACAGAGGGUGCAAGCGUUGUUCGGAAUUAUUGGGCGUAAAGGGCGCGUAGGCGGUGCGGUAAGUCUGCAGUGAAAUCUCUGGGCUCAACUCAGAGUCUGCUGUAGAAACUGCCGUGCUUGAGUGUGGGAGAGGUGAGUGGAAUUCCGAGUGUAGAGGUGAAAUUCGUAGAUAUUCGGAAGAACACCAGUGGCGAAGGCGACACACUGGCUCACUACUGACGCUGAGGCGCGAAAGCGUGGGGAGCAAACAGG
rnacentral:rRNA from 1 species